rnacentral:rRNA from 1 species
CGGGAAUUUUGGGCAAUGGGCGAAAGCCUGACCCAGCAACGCCGCGUGAGGGAUGAAGUAUUUCGGUAUGUAAACCUCGAAAGAAUGGGAAGAAUAAAUGACGGUACCAUUUAUAAGCUCCGGCUAACUACGUGCCAGCAGCCGCGGUAAUACGUAGGGAGCAAGCGUUGUUCGGAUUUACUGGGCGUAAAGCGUACGUAGGCGGAUGCGCAAGUUGGGGGUGAAAUCCCGGGGCUUAACCUCGGAAUUGCCCUCAAAACUGCACGUCUUGAGACCGAGAGAGGUAAGGGGAAUUCCUAGUGUAGAGGUGAAAUUCGUAGAUAUUAGGAAGAACACCAGUGGCGAAGGCGCCUUACUGGCUCGGUACUGACGCUGAGGUACGAAAGCGUGGG